rnacentral:rRNA from 1 species
UACGUAGGGCGCAAGCGUUAUCCGGAAUUAUUGGGCGUAAAGAGCUCGUAGGCGGUCUGUUGCGUCCGCUGUGAAAACUCGGGGCUUAACCCCGAGCCUGCAGUGGAUACGGGCAGACUAGAGGUAGGUAGGGGAGAAUGGAAUUCCCGGUGUAGCGGUGAAAUGCGCAGAUAUCGGGAGGAACACCGGUGGCGAAGGCGGUUCACUGGACCGGAACUGACGCUGAGGCGCGAAAGCGUGGGGAGCAAACGGG